rnacentral:rRNA from 1 species
AUUGAACGCUGGCGGCAGGCCUAACACAUGCAAGUCGAACGAGUGGCGGACGGGUGAGUAAUGUCUGGGACACCGCCUGAUGGAGGGGGAUAACUACUGGAAACGGUAGCUAAUACCGCAUACCAUCAGAUGUGCCAAGAUUGGAUUGGCUUGUUGGUGGGGUAACGGCUCAACACGGCGCAGAUCCCUAGCUGGUCGUAGAGGAUGACCAGCCACACUGGAACUGCGACACGGUCCAGACUCCGCCGCGAGGCAGCAGUGGGGAAGAUUGCACAAUGGGCGCAAGCCUGAUGCAGCCAUGCAGCGUGUAUGAAGAAGGCCUUCGGGUUGUAAAGUACUUUCAGCGGGGAGGCGUUACCCGCAGAAGAAGCACCGGCUAACUCCGUGCCAGCAGCCGCGGUAAUUC